rnacentral:rRNA from 1 species
UACGGAGGGGGCUAGCGUUGUUCGGAAUUACUGGGCGUAAAGCGCACGUAGGCGGCUUUGUAAGUUAGAGGUGAAAGCCCGGAGCUCAACUCCGGAAUUGCCUUUAAGACUGCAUCGCUUGAAUCCAGGAGAGGUGAGUGGAAUUCCGAGUGUAGAGGUGAAAUUCGUAGAUAUUCGGAAGGAACACCAGUGGCGAAGGGCGGCUCACUGGACUGGUAUUGACGCUGAGGUGGCGAAAGCGUGGGGAGCAAACAGG